GGGGGCGACAGGCUUCGACGAGGAUCGAGAGGUCAGGAGUUGCAUGCCGAGGUGCCACGAGGCCUCGUUAAACACGUGGCAAAAACACAACUGCCAAUAACGAACUGGCACUCGCUGCCUAACUAAGGGAGCGCGUCCCGCGGCCGGCGCCUGAACUGCCGAUGGGAUGUCAAAACACAGGCUGGUCUUCCCGACACCGUCCGGGGCGGGAGGAUGAGACAAACCGGGCUGGCCAAUUCCAGAGCUUUCCCCGAGGCGCUGGAUGCGGCGAGAUCCAAACGAGGGGAUAAGCAUGUAUGAGCUUCUGGCUGAUGGUUUUCGGACGUGGGUUCGAAUCCCACCGCCUCCACCA
rnacentral:tmRNA from 1 species